AUUGAACGCUGGCGGUAUGCUUAACACAUGCAAGUCGAACGGUAACAGGCCUAGCUUGCUAGGUGCUGACGAGUGGCGGACGGGUGAGUAACGCGUGGGAAUCUACCUUGUAGUGGGGGAUAACCUGGGGAAACCCAGGCUAAUACCGCAUAAGUCUUAAGAGAGAAAGCUGGGGACCUUCGGGCCUGGUGCUAUAAGAUGAGCCCGCGUCAGAUUAGCUUGUUGGUGGGGUAAAAGCCUACCAAGGCAAAGAUCUGUAGCUGUUCUGAGAGGAAGAUCAGCCACACUGGGACUGAGACACGGCCCAG
rnacentral:rRNA from 1 species